AGCAGCCGCCGCGGGAAUACAGUGGGUGCGAGCGUUAAUCGGAUUUACUGGGCGUAAAGCGUGCGUAGGCGGCUUCUUAAGUCGGAUGUGAAAUCCCUGAGCUUAACUUAGGAAUUGCAUUCGAUACUGGGAAGCUAGAGUAUGGGAGAGGAUGGUAGAAUUCCAGGUGUAGCGGUGAAAUGCGUAGAGAUCUGGAGGAAUACCGAUGGCGAAGGCAGCCAUCUGGCCUAAUACUGACGCUGAGGUACGAAAGCAUGGGGAGCAAACAGGAUUAGAUACCCCUGUAGUCCCUGUCUCUUAUAA
rnacentral:rRNA from 1 species